CGGCAGGCUUAACACAUGCAAGUCGAGGGGUACAUUAGAGUGCUUGCACUUUAGAUGACGACCGGCGCACGGGUGCGUAACGCGUAUAGAACCUACCUUAUAGUAAGGGAUAGCCCAGAGAAAUUUGGAUUAAUACCUUAUAGUAUCAUAAAUCAGCAUUGGUUAAUGAUUAAAGAUUUAUCGCUAUAAGAUGGCUAUGCGUUCUAUUAGCUAGUUGGUAUGGUAACGGCAUACCAAGGCGACGAUAGAUAGGGGUCCUGAGAGGGAGAUCCCCCACACUGGUACUGAGACACGGACCAGACUCCUACGGGAGGCAGCAGUGAGGAAUAUUGGACAAUGGAGGCAACUCUGAUCCAGCCAUGCCGCGUGUAGGAAGACUGCCCUAUGGGUUGUAAACUACUUUUAUAGAGGAAGAAACCGCUCUACGUGUAGAGCUCUGACGGUACUCUACGAAUAAGGAUCGGCUAACUCCGUGCCAGCAGCCGCGGUAAUACGGAGGAUCCAAGCGUUAUCCGGAAUCAUUGGGUUUAAAGGGUCCGUAGGCGGGUUUGUAAGUCAGUGGUGAAAGUUUUCGGCUCAACCGGAAAAUUGCCAUUGAUACUGCAAGUCUUGAAUCAUUAUGAAGUGGUUAGAAUAAGUAGUGUAGCGGUGAAAUGCAUAGAUAUUACUUAGAAUACCGAUUGCGAAGGCAGAUCACUAAUAAUGUAUUGACGCUAAGGGACGAAAGCGUGGGUAGCGAACAGGAUUAGAUACCCUGGUAGUCCACGCCGUAAAACGAUGGUUACUAGCUGUUCGGUUUUCGGACUGAGUGGCUAAGCGAAAG
rnacentral:rRNA from 1 species